rnacentral:lncRNA from 1 species
AACUCAAGCACUAUGAUCAUCCACUUCUUUACCAAACUCAAGCACUAUAAUCAUCCACUUCUUUACCAAACUCAAGCACUAUGAUCAUCCACUCAUUUACCAACUCAAGCACUAUCUUUCAUAUUUUAUGUAUUGUUGCUCACUAUAAAUACCAUCACUCAUCUCACUCAUUUGUACACCAUAAACAAGAACAAGAGUUUAUAAUCAAAGAACCAUCACAUCUUCUUCUUCUUCCUUAUAAUAAACUCUCUCCCUUAUACUAGUGUUAUUUGCUUCUUACGGGUAUCAAAUUCUACUCUUAUUUAAAUUUCUCGAUACUAUAAAUUAUAAGUUAUUUCUUAACAUUUUCUUCUUUUUUGACUUUUGUCUAGAGAGUUUGGUUGUGUGUUCUUAACAUAAUCAUUUUAAAGUGAAUAAAAUACAUCACUUUAUCAUAUAAUUUAUACUAGAUUCUAAAACACAAGUAAGACUAGAAUCCUAACACUCGCCUUACACAAUAGAAAAUCUCCAUAGAUUGUAAUUGUUGUCAUGAUUCUACAGUUUACUACGUUAACCGACACAAACCAAACUUGAUACACUCAGAUAAUUUGUUAUUAUU